UACGUAGGGUGCGAGCGUUGUCCGGAAUUAUUGGGCGUAAAGAGCUCGUAGGCGGUUCGUCGCGUCGGCUGUGAAAACCUGAGGCUCAACCUCAGGCCUGCAGUCGAUACGGGCGGACUUGAGUACUGCAGGGGAGACUGGAAUUCCUGGUGUAGCGGUGAAAUGCGCAGAUAUCAGGAGGAACACCGGUGGCGAAGGCGGGGUCUCUGGGCAGUAACUGACGUGGAGGAGCG
rnacentral:rRNA from 1 species